rnacentral:snRNA from 1 species
AUACUUACGGGGUAGGGGAGAUAACGUAAUCAUGAAGGCGGUUUUCCCAGGGCGAGGCUUGUACCGCACCCCUGUGAUUUCCCCAGAUGUGGGAAUCUCCACUGCAUAAUUUGUGGUAGUGGGGACUGCGCUCGUGUUUUGCCCUG